rnacentral:rRNA from 1 species
GACGAACGCUGGCGGCGUGCGUAACACAGGAAAGUCGAACGGAAAGGCCCUGCUUUUGUGGGGUGCUCGAGUGGCGAACGGGUGAGUAACACGUGAGUAACCUGCUCUUGACUUUGGGAUAACUUCAGGAAACUGGGGCUAAUACCGGAUAGGAGCUCCUGCUGCAUGGUGGGGGUUGGAAAGUUUCGGCGGUUGGGGAUGGACUCGCGGCUUAUCAGCUUGUUGGUGGGGUAGUGGCUUACCAAGGCUUUGACGGGUAGCCGGCCUGAGAGGGUGACCGGCCACAUUGGGACUGAGAUACGGCCCAGACUCCUACGGGAGGCAGCAGUGGGGAAUAUUGCACAAUGGGCGGAAGCCUGAUGCAGCAACGCCGCGUGCGGGAUAACUGCCUUCGGGUUGUAAACCGCUUUCGCCUGUGACGAAGCGUGAGUGACGGUAAUGGGUAAAGAAGCACCGGCUAACUACGUC